CUGCAUGUGUGGGAGGCUACCAGUGGUUACAUGUGUUUUAUGUGUUUAACUUUCUGUAUACAUACUGGAAUGAACCAAGGUUGUAGUCCUACUGCCGUUCUUUAAAAACAAUGUGAUCAUGUUUUUCUUUCAAACUCAUUGUUUUAGCACGCACGCUGACUUCCAUCAGUUAUGAUUUACAUUGAAUCAUUGGUUUGUAGGGGGAAAGAGUGGGUGGAUAUAAUUAUCUCGAUCUAACUUAUACUUUUUAUUAUACCGUUAUUCGCAGCAAUAUCUUUCUCUGCUCCGAUUGCAACGCUGCCUCGUUCAAAUCUCAUAACACCGCCGCGGCCGCCGCGAUUACCAGCCGGAGUUUCAAAUCAUGUCCCUUUGUGGUGAUGAAGAGGACACAGCCUGGUGUGAAGCUACAUUUAUUCCGGGAAGAUGGCAGACGGGGGUAAGUGAUAUAUAUAUAAAUAAUGAUAAUGUGGAAAUUCUAAUCAUUUUCACGCUGACUGCUGUUCUGAACUUGCUAACUGCAUGCCUCCCCUCCUCCCUCGGCCCCGCUGGCCGCUGCACUUGAUUUAAACACAUGAGCAUGGGGAGACUGCAAGAGGCCGAAUGGCCUACACACGGCAGCUCCAGAUUCCCGGGCCCACUACCACCUGUCAGCCUCGUCCACGUAGCUAUCCAGUUUACUCUUAAAACAAGCUAUCGUCCCUGCACUAUUUGAUUGCUGAGUCUAUUCCAUUACCACACCACCCUAUUACUAAACCAAUGCCUGCCCAUUUCCCUCCUAAAUCUAUACUUUUCUAAUUUAAGUCAAUUACUGCAUGUUCUAUCCUGCUCUAGCUCAUCCCUAUACUGUCCAAACAUCUUGUGCAAAAGUUAACCAGCAUCUUCACUCUUUCAUCCCUUACACUGAUAAACUCUGGAACAGCCUUCCUUCGUCUGCAUUUCCUCUGCCUAUAACUUGACCUUCAAGAAGAGUGUAUCAAGACUCUAAUUUUGUCUGUUGUGGGAGCGGUGAGUAGCGGGGCUUUUUUUUCUUCUAGUACGCUUUGUUGCCCUUGAGCUGUUUCCUUCGUUUAAAGAAAAUAAUAAUUAAAUAAAUAGAAGUUGGCCGCCAAUGCUUCCAACACAUUUUGGUGCCAUAUCUACAAGUGGCUGGUGACCGUAAGUAUCUCAGCAACCUACAUGCAUCUAUGCCAUUCCUAUCACGGUGCAUGGAGCAAGUUUCACAUAACACUCAGACAGAGACAGUUCAAUUAUGGUUAUAUUUCAGACUCAGUUUAUUGCUCAGUCUAUUAGGUGCAGUGCUGUUAAUAUUGUUAGUGGUAGUAUUAGUACAAUUAAUGUAUUUAUUUUCAUUAAUUUAUCAAUAUUUAUUUAUUAUAUUAUUAGUGUUUGAAAAUUCUAAUACUAGUAUUAAGAUAAACAAAAAUAUCAGAAAUAUAUUUAUACUCAUUAAUUAUUAUUACUUUUCUUAUUAAUUCCUUCAAUGUCCUGGCACUUUGACAUCUAGUGCUUAUCCGUCGAGCAGCCAAAAUUGUGGUCUUUCUGAAUGUGUAUGUCCUAAGUCUUCAUUGGUGUAACUAGCUAUAUAACAUCAAAAUCUGCAUCUCUCUCCCUUCUCACCCAGUUGUCCCCGUACAUCCUUUCACUAUCCAAAGAAUUUCUAUUUACCUCUUGUAAUCACUUAACUAAUGCAGUCAGCGAUUUUACAACUUCACAUCAUACCUCGUAACUCUUCCUUCAAGAUCAUAACAUCACCUGGCCUCUUAAUUCCCCGGUGCACCAACAAACUCACUUGGCAAACCUCAUCUCUAUAUUUUACCGUGUGGACAUACUCUCUCCUUCCAUGUUCCACUGUCGUAUGAUAUUCCACAUCUAACACAACCACAUCCCAACAGAUCCGAACAUGUUCGGUAUCAUCCAAGAGAAUGUGGCAGAUGAAGAGGAGAGUCCAAGAAAGAGGCCAAGGGUGAAGCUGAAUGAAGACAUUUAGCCACCCCCUGCGGUACGUGGCAGCAUCCAACCCUCUUGCUGAGCUGCAGGAGUGUACUCCCCAUUGCAUUGUACCAGCUCCAUGUACUGAUUUCGGGUAUGAACUUGAUGCGGUUGGAGGAAACUCGACUCGGCUAUCAAGCUCACCACAAUAUAACAUGAAAAGUGAAAAUUACUGCACAAAACAGUCUGCCGUCUGCACCGGGAGGCAAGGCAGCUCAAACCCCAGGCUGUUACAACUCCUGGGCAGUUUUUGCCCAGAGCCAGCAAUUUUUUAGAUCCAAUAGGGGUGGAUUUUUUCUAAGGUCAGGUUCAACAUGCUGCAAGAUGCCAAGAUCUAAGCCUAGUAGGAGAUAUGGGUUACAAGAGAGGAGGUUUGCUCUGGCCUUAUACUAUCAAAGUCCAAAUGCUAAUAGAUUUCUAAGCACAGUAUUUCACUUGCCCUCAGUUUCAACACUUCACUCAUGACUCAGGGGUAUUUCAGUACAUGUUGGCUGGAGCAAACAGACUCUGACAGCCCUGCAGCAAAGAGCAUAGGCUUUGUCAAAAGAAGAGAAACUUCGUGGUAUUUGCCAUUAUUUAGUAUUACUCUUGUUACGCCAAGAAUUUUUUUACAUAUACUUUGCCAAAUAUUGCAAGUAAUGCACCAUUGUUGGGCUUGCCUGUUAUAAAUCAGAUCUUGUUCAAUUAACAAGCUUUGGGUGUCUGCCACUUUCCAGUUCCAGUCCAAGGCAUCAUUUAUCUUCCCUGCUAGAUAUCACAUGUAAUGCACCAUUGUUGGUUUUGCUUGUUAUAAAUCAGAUCUUGUUCAGUAAACAAGCUUUAGGUGUCUGCCACUUUCCAAUUGUAAUGCAAGGAAUCCCCUGCCAGAUAUCGCAUGUAAUGCACCAUUGUUGGUCUUGCCUGUUAUAAAUCAGAUCUUGUUCAGCUCACAAGCUUUGAAUAUCUGCCAUCGUUUAUUUCAGGUGUAAUGCUUGGAAGCAUUUGUUCUCUUCCCUACUCAUCAGUAUGCAAUGCUUUAUUGUGGAUUUUGCCUGUUAUAUUUAAUCUUGUUCAGGUAACAAGCUUUUGGUGUCUGCCUUACCUAAUAAUGUGCUGCAGUGACACUUGGCUUGGUUUCAUAAUGUGAAAUACAGCUUGUAAUUUCAUCACACUAAGUGUCUAUCAUCACGUGUCUGGCAUCAUUAAUGUGGCUUCCAGGAGUAAUCUUGUUUGUAUUACAGCAUGCAAUGUUUUUUCUGCUUUGUAUGAUAUACAUAAUCAUAUAGGUAUGAUUUAUUUAUUUAUUUAUUUAUUUAUUUUUAUUUAUUUAUUUAUUUAUUUUUU